UGGGGAAUCUUGCGCAAUGGGCGAAAGCCUGACGCAGCCAUGCCGCGUGAAUGAUGAAGGUCUUAGGAUUGUAAAAUUCUUUCACCGGGGACGAUAAUGACGGUACCCGGAGAAGAAGCCCCGGCUAACUUCGUGCCAGCAGCCGCGGUAAUACGAAGGGGGCUAGCGUUGCUCGGAAUUACUGGGCGUAAAGGGCGCGUAGGCGGAUAGUUUAGUCAGAGGUAAAAGCCCAGGGCUCAACCUUGGAACUGCCUUUGAUACUGGCUAUCUUGAGUUCGGGAGAGGUGAGUGGAAUGCCGAGUGUAGAGGUGAAAUUCGUAGAUAUUCGGCGGAACACCAGUGGCGAAGGCGACUCACUGGACCGAUACUGACGCUGAGGCGCGAAAGCGUGGGGAGCAAACA
rnacentral:rRNA from 1 species